UUUACUGCAGAAUACAUCAUCUCACAACAAAUAUGUACCAGUAAAGUAACCAAAAUAAAUGGUGGUCAAUCAACUUAACCUAUACUUAUCAACAAAAAUAACCACCAAUCAUGGAACAAUAAAUCAUUCCAAUCUAAUAUUUAAAGGAAGACACGACAGCAAAGGUUUUCGUCACUUUGAACACAUCUUCAUCCCAUCAAGCAGAGGACAAAUCCAAUCCAAACGGACCUGAACAAUCCAAAUCUAUGAUGAGAGGACAGGGCACUCCCACAGGAUGGUCUUGAGUCAAGAGAGCGGGCCAAUCUCGCCCGACGCUGGACUUCUAAAUACAACGCAUCCUCCUGCGAGAUGUGAGCAGUUAUCUCGAGGAGCGGAUUAAGGUAGGUAGUGGUGAUGCCCAUGAUCAGAAGGCUGGCGCACACAUGUCAUCUCUUGUAU